rnacentral:siRNA from 1 species
AUAGGACGUCAUGUGGUUAACACC